rnacentral:rRNA from 1 species
AACGAACGCUGGCGGCAUGCCUAACACAUGCAAGUCGAACGAGACCUUCGGAUCUAGCGGCGCACGGGUGCGUAACGCGUGGGAAUCUACCCUUGGGUUCGGAAUAACAGUUAGAAAUGACUGCUAAUACCGGAUGAUGACGUAAGUCCAAAGAUUUAUCGCCCAAGGAUGAGCCCGCGUAAGAUUAGCUUGUUGGUGGGGUAAUGGCCUACCAAGGCGACGACCUUUAGCUGGUCUGAGAGGAUGAUCAGCCACACUGGGACUGAGACACGGCCCAGACUCCUACGGGAGGCAGCAGUGGGGAAUAUUGGACAAUGGGCGAAAGCCUGAUCCAGCAAUGCCGCGUGAGUGAUGAAGGCCUUAGGGUUGUAAAGCUCUUUUACCAGGGAUGAUAAUGACAGUACCUGGAGAAUAAGCUCCGGCUAACUCCGUGCCAGCAGCCGCCGUAA